GGCUGUUAUUUUCAAACUUUACUUUUAAGCAGACAAACAGAACACAUAUUUAAAUUUCCAGUAUAGUUUUGUGGAUUGCAGCACAAAAAACGAGCUCAGUGAAUUUGCAAAGAACACAAGACUACACAAUGCCUAAAAUAUAUGAUGGUACAUGUGAUGAUAAAUUAUAUAAUCACAUAUAUAAUCACAGCAUUUCCAUAGAGCCACUUUGCAUCAGCAGCUCCAUGCUCCAGCGCUCUGGGAGAGUUUAUAGUCCUGACAGUUGAACACUGGAUGACUGACAGCUGUCCUUCAUCACAGCAGAAGACAUAGAAAUCCUCAUCAUCAUCAGAAACAUGACUUUGAUCUGCGUCCUCAUCUGGACUCUCCUCUGCUGCUGCUUCACAGAGUCCAAAAUCCAGGUUUCAGUGACUCAGCAGCCUGCAGCAGUGAGAGCCGAUCUGGGAGGAUCUGUGACCAUCAACUGUAGAACCGGACAAAAUGUGUAUUAUUACAGUGGUUGUUCCUGCUAUCGUUUAGACUGGUACCAACUAAAACAUGGACAAACUCCUAAGCUCCUCAUUUAUUAUACCAGCACUCGAGCAUCAGGGACUCCAAGUCGUUUUUCAGGCAGUGGAUCAAACUCUGACUUCACUCUGACCAUCAGUGGAGUUCAGGCUGAAGAUGCUGCAGUUUAUUACUGUAAGGGAGAAUUUGAUGCUAACAAGUAUGAGCUGUUCACACAGUGAAAAACAGUCAUACAAAAACCUCCCUCAGUCAAA